CCUACGGGAGGCAGCAGUGAGGAAUAUUGGUCAAUGGCCGAGAGGCUGAACCAGCCAAGUCGCGUGAGGGAUGACGGCCCUACGGGUUGUAAACCUCUUUUGUCGGGGAGCAAAGAGAGUCACGUGUGGCUCAUUGAGAGUACCCGAAGAUAAAGCAUCGGCUAACUCCGUGCCAGCAGCCGCGGUAAUACGGAGGAUGCGAGCGUUAUCCGGAUUUAUUGGGUUUAAAGGGUGCGCAGGCGGAGGUGCAAGUCAGUGGUCAAAUUGCGGGGCUCAACCCCGUACUGCCGUUGAAACUGCAUCCCUUGAGUGCGCGAGAAGUAUGCGGAAUGCGUGGUGUAGCGGUGAAAUGCUUAGAGAUCACACAGAACACCGAUUGCGAAGGCAGCUUACCAAUCUAUAUCUGACGUUGAGGCACGAAAGCGUGGGGAGCAAACAGGAUUAGAUACCCGUGUAGUC
rnacentral:rRNA from 1 species